rnacentral:ncRNA from 2 species
AUCAAACUUAUGGGGAGCUUGUUAAAUCAGGCUGAGAUUCCCGAAAUUAUCGGGUGACCCAAUGAACCUGUACGGAUAAUGCCGUCGGAGGGAAAAAUAUGCCAAACGCU